rnacentral:rRNA from 1 species
CCUACGGGGGGCAGCAGUGGGGAAUAUUGGACAAUGGGGGCAACCCUGAUCCAGCCAUGCCGCGUGUGUGAAGAAGGCCCUCGGGUUGUAAAGCACUUUCAGUGAGGAAGAACGCCUGGUGGUUAAUACCCAUCAGGAAAGACAUCACUCACAGAAGAAGCACCGGCUAACUCCGUGCCAGCAGCCGCGGUAAUACGGAGGGUGCGAGCGUUAAUCGGAAUUACUGGGCGUAAAGCGCGCGUAGGUGGCUUGAUAAGCCGGUUGUGAAAGCCCCGGGCUCAACCUGGGAGCGGCAUCCGGAACUGUCAAGCUAGAGUGCAGGAGAGGAAGGUAGAAUUCCCGGUGUAGCGGUGAAAUGCGUAGAGAUCGGGAGGAAUACCAGUGGCGAAGGCGGCCUUCUGGACUGACACUGACACUGAGGUGCGAAAGCGUGGGUAGCAAACAGGAUUAGAUACCCUGGUAGUC